UUCGAGAUAAAAAAAUGUUUC
ensembl:piRNA 21ur-14354 ncRNA